rnacentral:rRNA from 1 species
CAAAGAGCAUUUUAGUUUGACUCCCCGAAACCAAGUGAGCUACUCCAAGACAGCCUCCAAGGGCGAACCCGUCUCUGUGGCAAAAGAGUGGGAAGAUCUUUGAGUAGAGGUGACAGACCUACCGAACUUGGUUAUAGCUGGUUGCUUGGGAAAUGAAUAGGAGUUCAGCCUUUUGCCCUCUUUCUUCACAUACUGGAUAUACUUUCAAGCGCCAAAGUAGGACAAAAGAGUUAGUCAAAGGGGGUACAGCCCCUUUGAAUAAAGACACAACUUUACCAGUAGGGUUAAGAUCAUAACAGCAAGGAAGGGAAUGUGUUCUAGUUGGCCUAAGAGCAGCCACCCACACAGAAAGCGUUAAAGCUCAGACACCCCUCCACCCCAAUUAUCCGGACCACAAAAUCUUACCCCCCUAAUCAUACUGAGCCUUUCCAUACCGAUAUGGAAGAGACUAUGCUAAUAUGAGUAAUAAGAGACCUAGAAUCUCUCCCUGCGCAAGUGUUCAUCGGAACGAACUAACACCGAAAAUUAACGGCCCCAAAAGAGGGGAUUGAAAUAUUUUAGCCAGGCUACUAGGAGAACAUCCAUACGCCCACCGUUGACCUUACACCAGAGCGCAUAUAAGGAAAGACUAAAAGAAAGAGAAGG